CCUACGGGCGGCAGCAGUAAGGAAUCUUGCGCAAUGGGCGAAAGCCUGACGCAGCGACGCCGCGUGGGCGAUGAAGGCCUUCGGGUUGUAAAGCCCUUUUCUGGGGGACGAGGAAGGACGGUACCCCAGGAGUAAGUCACGGCUAACUACGUGCCAGCAGCCGCGGUAAUACGUAGGGGGCGAGCGUUGUCCGGAUUUAUUGGGCGUAAAGAGCGUGUAGGCGGCCUGUCAAGUCCGGUGUGAAAUGUCACGGCUUAACCAUGACCCUGCACUGGAAACUGUCAGGCUAGAGUCUGGAUGAGGAGAGUGGAAUUCCUGGUGUAGCGGUGAAAUGCGCAGAUAUCAGGAGGAACACCGGUGGCGAGGGCGGCUCUCUGGGAAAGUACUGACGCUGAGACGCGAAAGCGUGGGGAGCAAACAGGAUUAGAUACCCCUGUAGU
rnacentral:rRNA from 1 species